rnacentral:tmRNA from 2 species
AUUCUUUAAUUAUUUUUAUUUUUUUUAUACAAUUUAAACGCUUUAUAAGCUAUGGCGAUAAAUGUUUGAAUUGUGAUCUGAGACGGACCCGGGGGCAGUGCCCGGCGCCUCCACCAAAAUCAUUUUGGGGGCGAAACAGGAUCGACGUGCAUGGGAAUCUUCAAAACUUUGCUCGGUGUAGUUCCACCGUUAUCGGACUAAUACUAAAUAAGUGCUAACGAUAAUGAAAUGGCACUCGCUGCUUAAUAAUAUUAAGUAAGCGCUGCAAUGAGACGCGGGGCAACAGAAGUCUCAUCG